AAGCCAAAAACUCCUGUCCCGCUUAGGCUGGAGGCCACUCCGCGGACGAAAAUUGACAACUGGGCAACGUCACAAACUUCAGCGUUCUCAUCCACAGCCAAGGAAUAUGCAAUGACAUCCUUUCCGUUGUUCACAAGCUGCUCUUUUAGAUAAAUGGACAGCUGCUCUACUCGCUCGGCAAUUGGUGGAGGACUCGGACGUGCUGGUGGAUUACACCAUACGCAAGUUCUACGUCCAACACAUCAGAAGCAUCGAAUGGCUCGUUCUGGGCAACGAUUUCCACUUAACACUUUGUUCAUCUUGUAGCAAUCGAAUGAUGCCGCGUGUGGUCACGCCGCUCCAUUUCACCAACUGGCCCAACUUCGGCGUGCCCUUCUCUCCCAUCGGCAUGCUCAAGUUCCAAGAAAGUCAAAGGCGCUCAAGCCGCCCGUCGCGCCCAUCGUGGUCCACUGCAGCGCUGGCGUUAGUCAGACGGGCAGGUUCAUCGUGAUUGAUGGUAUGAUGGACAAGAUUUACGCCGGACACAAAGCGGUAGUUUGGAAAUCCGAGAGCAGCGUCCGCAGCUCUUCCAGAUGAAUAUGCAGUAUUUGUUCAUCUACCAGGCGCCAAAAUGCGUAACUCUCACCGCCUUAACUGUAUUUGUGAUUUAAUGUGAACUGUUCUGUAAUCCCGAAUGCAUUAUCGCCUCACCCCAUCACCUGCCUAUCCUCUUGAACAAAAUCCCUUGAACCCUUACUCUGAAGGCCUAACCUCUAAUGCCUAUACAGAUAAUUACCUAACCUAAGAGGCCGAUCUGCU